rnacentral:ncRNA from 1 species
UUAAAGUUUGAUUCUGUCUUAGGAUUUUGUUAAUUCUUUAAUUUAUAUGGAAAUAUUUUAAAUCGUUUUUAAAUCCAGUAAUUAGUAUUAUUGUUUGUCUAUAGACUGACUUAGUAAUAGAAUUUAUAAUAGAUUAAAUUUGUGCCAGCAUUCGCGGUUAUACAAAUUUAUUAAAGUUAAUUUUAUAGGAUUUAAUUUAAUUAUUUUUAUUGAGUUUAAAUUUAUUGUACUUAGGUGGAAUUUGUACUUUUAAUUAUUCUCUAAAAUUUUAUUUUAAAAAAUUUUAUUACUAAACUAGGAUUAGAUACCCUAUUAUUUAUUAUGUAUUUAUAUUAAUCUUGAAUAGUAUUAGCUAUGUUCUUUAAAGCUCAAAGAAUUUGGCGGUGAAAUAUCUUCUUAGAGGAACCUGUGGAUUAAUCGAUAAACCACGAUAUAUUUUACUUGUAUUAAAAUUUGUAUACCGCUAUGUAAAUGGAGUGUUCUUAUAGGAUAUUUUCUUUUUCUAAAUUGAUUAAUAUUAGGUCAAGGUGCAGUUUUAUACAAGUUUUCAUGGGUUACUUUAAUUCUAAAUGUAUAGGAUUUUUAUUAGUUUUAAUAAUUGAGAAUUAGGAUUUAAAAGUAAAUUAAAUUAAUUAAUUUAAUUGAAUUUUGCUCUUUUUUAUGUACAUAUCGCCCGUCACUCCUGGUCUAAGUCAGGAUAAGUCGUAACAAAGUAAUUUUACCGGAAGGUGAGGUUAGAAGUAC